rnacentral:rRNA from 1 species
UACGUAGGGGGCUAGCGUUGUCCGGAAUCAUUGGGCGUAAAGAGCGUGUAGGCGGUCCGGUAAGUCCGUUGUGAAAGUCAGGGGCUCAACCCUUGAAUGCCGGCGGAUACUGUCGGGCUAGAGUCCGGAAGAGGCGAGUGGAAUUCCCGGUGUAGCGGUGAAAUGCGUAGAUAUUGGGAGGAACACCAGUGGCGAAGGCGGCUCACUGGACCGGAACUGACGCUGAGGCGCGAAAGCGUGGGGAGCAAACGGG